rnacentral:rRNA from 1 species
UACGUAGGGUGCGAGCGUUAAUCGGAAUACUGGCGUAAAGCGUGCGCAGGCGGUGAUGUAAGACAGAUGUGAAAUCCCCGGGCUCAACCUGGGACCUGCAUUUGUGACUGCAUCGCUAGAGUACGGUAGAGGGGGGGAUGGAAUUCCGCGUGUAGCAGUGAAAUGCGUAGAUAUGCGGAGGAACACCGAUGGCGAAGGCAAUCCCCUGGACCUGUACUGACGCUCAUGCACGAAAGCGUGGGGAGCAAACAGG